rfam:Salmo salar isolate Sally breed double haploid chromosome ssa22, whole genome shotgun sequence.
GGCAUUCACUACUGUAAGUUGCUCUGGAUAAGAGUGUCUGCUAAAUGACUAAAA